GACGAACGCUGGCGGCGUGCUUAACACAUGCAAGUCGAACGGAAAGGCCCUGCGUUUGUGGGGUGCUCGAGUGGCGAACGGGUGAGUAACACGUGAGUAACCUGCCCUUGACUUUGGGAUAACUUCAGGAAACUGGGGCUAAUACCGGAUAGGAGCUCCUGCUGCAUGGGGGGGGUUGGAAAGUUUCGGCGGUUGGGGAUGGACUCGCGGCUUAUCAGCUUGUUGGUGGGGUAGUGGCUUACCAAGGCUUUGACGGGUAGCCGGCCUGAGAGGGUGACCGGCCACAUUGGGACUGCGAUACGGCCCAGACUCCUACGGGAGGCAGCAGUGGGGAAUAUUACACAAUGGGCGGAAGCCUGAUGCAGCAACGCCGCGUGCGGGAUGACGGCCUUCGGGUUGUAAACCGCUUUCGCAUGUGACGAAGCGUGAGUGACGGUAAUGGGUAAAGAAGCACCGGCUAACUACGUG
rnacentral:rRNA from 1 species